GGCGGAUGUAGCCAAGUGGAUCAAGGCAGUGGAUUGUGAAUCCACCAUGCGCGGGUUCUG
rnacentral:tRNA from 1 species